GCCCCGGUAGCUCAACUGGACAGAGCAGCCGCCUUCUAAGCGGCAGGUUGAGGGUUCGAGUCCCCCCCGGGGUG
rnacentral:tRNA from 1 species